AGGAAAGCAGGGGAUCGCAAGACCUUGCGCUUUUGGAGCGGCCGAUGUCUGAUUAGCUAGUUGGUGAGGUAAAGGCUUACCAAGGCUUCGAUCAGUAGCUGGUCUGAGAGGACGACCAGCCACACUGGGACUGAGACACGGCCCAGACUCCUACGGGAGGCAGCAGUGGGGAAUUUUGGACAAUGGGGGAAACCCUGAUCCAGCCAUGCCGCGUGAGUGAAGAAGGCCUUCGGGUCGUAAAGCUCUUUCAGCCGGAACGAAAAGGUUACGGUUAAUACCCGUGACUAAUGACGGUACCGGAAGAAGAAGCACCGGCUAACUACGUGCCAGCAGCCGCGGUAAUACGUAGGGUGCGAGCGUUAAUCGGAAUUACUGGGCGUAAAGCGUGCGCAGGCGGUUUUGUAAGUCAGAUGUGAAAUCCCCGGGCUCAACCUGGGAACUGCGUUUAAAACUACAAAGCU
rnacentral:rRNA from 1 species